UCUUUUCCUAGUUUGGUGCCAAGAGCAAACCAUACCUUACUGUUGAUCAGAUGAUGGAAUUUAUAAAUUUUAAGCAACGUGAUCCACGAUUAAAUGAAAUCCUUUAUCCACCAUUAAAACAAGAACAAGUUCAACAACUGAUUGAGAAA